rnacentral:rRNA from 1 species
AUUGAACGCUGGCGGCAUGCCUUACACAUGCAAGUCGAACGCGAAAGGGGGGCAACUCCUGAGUAGAGUGGCGCACGGGUGAGUAAUGCAUCGGAACGUGUCCUGUAGCGGGGGAUAACCUAGCGAAAGCUAGGCUAAUACCGCAUACGUCCUACGGGAGAAAGUGGGGGAUCGUAAGACCUCACACUAUAGGCGCGGCCGAUGCCGGCUUAGCUAGUGAGUGGGGUAAAAGCCUACUAAGGCGACGAUCCGUAGCUGGUCUGAGAGGAUGAUCAGACACACUGGGACUGAGACACGGCCCAGACGCCGUCGGGAGGCAGCAGUGGGGAAGUUUGGACAAGGGGGGAAACCCUGAUCCAGCCAUGCCGCGUGAGUGAAGAAGGCCUUCGGGUUGUAAAGCUCUUUCGGCCGGGACGAAAUCGCACGCGUGAAUAUCGCGUGUGGAUGACGGUACCGGAAGAAGAAGGACCGGCUAACUACGUGCCAGCCGCCGCAGUAA